rnacentral:rRNA from 1 species
UACGGAGGUGCGAGCGUUGUCCGGAAUCACUGGCGUAAGGCGCGUAGGCGGCGCGGGAGUCAACGGUGAAAGCUCGGCGCUCAACGCCGAGUCGGCCGUCGAUACUCCGUGCUCGAGCACUGUAGAGGCAGGUGGAAUUCCGGGUGUAGCGGUGGAAUGCGUAGAGAUCCGGAAGAACACCGGUGGCGAAGGCGGCCUGCUG